GUGCCUUUUUGUCUCACCUGUUUCUGAUUGCUCCUGUGAUCCAGGCACAUACAAGCUGUGUCCCAAUUCAGGGGAAGAGAGAAACGGAGUGGAAUUCACUUUUAAACCUAGGGACCAAGAAAUGUAUAAAACUGAGGAAUUAGAAUGACCAUUUGUUUACGGGGGCACAAAAUUCAGCCACUGUUGGAUGGAGUUUAGAACAAUCCUGGAACAAAUGGGCCUGUAUGAACAGGUUGCGCCUGAGCAGGCCAAAAAAAUGGGACAACCUGAAAAGAAAAAUACAAAGGCAGACACCUCUGCAGACAGCUGAUUCCGCCAUGGAGCACCACUGACAGCGUCCAACUCGUUCUCCCCCUCAUCGUCCGGCAUGUCGUCCUGCAGCUUGUCCUCUGGGGCCAUAUUAAACAUGCUGGAAUCUGAUUGGCUCCCUCCUGGCCCCCUCCGCGAAAAUAAUGUCUUGUCAUUGGGUAAUUUGUUUUUCCUCAGAGGUGCGCUAGCUGGUGGUUACAGCGCAGCUUUAUGGGGGCGGGAUGAGGGGGGAAAAUAAAACAAGCACAUCUCUUCUCUCACUUCAACUCUGAACUGACGGAGACUCGGAUGGCAGGCAAAUUCAAACCUGCAGUA